AUUUAGUUUAGUGGCGGACGGGUGAGUAACGCGUGAGUAACCUGCCUUCAAGAGGGGGAUAACAUUCUGAAAAGAAUGCUAAUACCGCAUGACAUAUCGGAAUCACAUGGUUUUGAUAUCAAAGAUUUUAUCGCUUGAAGAUGGACUCGCGUCCGAUUAGUUAGUUGGUGAGGUAACGGCUCACCAAGACCGCGAUCGGUAGCCGGACUGAGAGGUUGAACGGCCACAUUGGGACUGAGACACGGCCCAGACUCCUACGGGAGGCAGCAGUGGGGGAUAUUGCGCAAUGGGGGCAACCCUGACGCAGCAACGCCGCGUGAAGGAUGAAGGUUUUCGGAUUGUAAACUUCUUUUAUUAAGGACGAAAAUUGACGGUACUUAAUGAAUAAGCUCCGGCUAACUACGUGCCAGCAGCCGCGGUAAUACGUAGGGAGCAAGCGUUGUCCGGAUUUACUGGGUGUAAAGGGUGCGUAGGCGGCUUUGCAAGUCAGAUGUGAAAUCUAUGGGCUCAACCCAUAAACUGCAUUUGAAACUGUAGAGCUUGAGUGAAGUAGAGGCAGGCGGAAUUCCCCGUGUAGCGGUGAAAUGCGUAGAGAUGGGGAGGAACACCAGUGGCGAAGGCGGCCUGCUGGGCCUUAACUGACGCUGAGGCACGAAAGCGUGGGUAGCAAACAGGAUUAGAUACCCUGGUAGUCCACGCUGUAAACGAUGAUUACUAGGUGUGGGGGGUCUGACCCCUUCCGUGCCGGAGUUAACACAAUAAGUAAUCCACCUGGGGAGUACGGCCGC
rnacentral:rRNA from 1 species